UUCCCACAUUCUUGAAAGUCUGUUACUGUGGCCAUAGACACUGCCCGAGGGAAACUUGGUGGAAUGAGUGGAGAUUGGUCGGGACAUGUCUAAGGAGCCAGGUAGAAAACAACCAGAGCAUUGAAGCAGGUACCUUGCACAUGCCGUCUCCUGGCAGUCACUGCUGUAUCUCCAGUCUCUGUGCAUUUGCCUGCUCUGAACAUCUCAGAAAAAGGGAAGCAUACAACAGGUGGCUCUUCUGCCUGGCUCCAUCCGGUUAUAAGGUUCACCUUUGUAGCACGCGACAGUACUUUGCUCCUUUCCAAUAAUCAUUAUAGAGAUAUGUUACAUUUUUUUUUAUCCACUCACAAGUUGACGGACAUAGUGUUGUCUCUACUCUUUAGCUGUUAUGAGCAAUGCUGUUAUGAACCUCGAGGAACAACAUGAACGUGUGUUUUCAGUUCUCCUGGGCAUAUGAAUGGGUCACACACCACGUUUUACUUCUCAGGGGACUGACGGGUUGUUCCCAAAGCAGCUGUGCCACCUGCCAUCCACACACCAUGGAGGUCUGAAAUCUACAUCCUCACAAGCACAUGAUGUUGUGUACAGUUGUUACAAUAGCCAUGCCGAUCGGAUUGUCAUUUUUAUCAUGGAUUUGUAUGAAUGACAGAGAAGAACGCAAUUUACCAUGGCCCGGGUGGGCAGAGAGCAUGAGUAGAGAAUGUUAACCACGGAAGCCUUCCUGGAGGAACUAAUGUCUAGCAUGAUCCGGAAGAGAUCAGCCUCGCAGUGCAUGAACUAUUUGUGCCUCAUUAGUUUCCAAUAGAUUGAUUUUGCUAGGAUUGCAGAUUGACCAUCUUGAAUUGCAGCUCUUCCUCCCCCAGUGAGACACAGACCCAUGGACUUACAGCAGCCCAAGCAGCCACUGCCACAGAGAGCCCAGAGAGCUGUCUGAGACCACAAUACAAAGCACCUUCCCCCUUCCUGGAAACAAAGCAAGAUAAAAUAUGGACUUAAACCAAACAAGCGCCAUCUCUUCUCUCUGGCCUCGUUCUCUCUGUUAAGAU
rnacentral:sRNA from 1 species